rnacentral:tRNA from 1 species
UUCCUGUGGUUAAAAUUUGCUUAACAGUGCUUUUCAAGCCACAGAUCUUGGAGAGAAGCCAAGCGGGAAU